ensembl:lncRNA
AGAUCACACCCUUUUUUUUUUUUUGCUAAAAAUGCAUAGUCAUUACAUAUACAGUAGUCAGCAUCCAAAAGUACAAAGAGUAAAUUUUCAAACCCUCCCAAUAGAACCACACAAAAAUCACACUUUUUGUUCAUUGCAUGCACAGCCCCUUAAAUGUGAUACCUCCUACUAAAGCGUGCUUGAACCUCUAGCGGACAGAAUUGACUUGCUAUAAACUGUUUCUCUGUACUAUUAACCCCCAGCUACAACCACAAAUCCUAAGGCAUUCCCAUGAAGUAGCGAAGCCCUACUUCAGAAUCCUCCAUGUUCUGAGUACAGCCCAGAAAGCAAUUGCCCUGAAAGCAGAAGUCUGCUGGUGGAGUUUCCUUCCAGGCAAUUUUAAGCAAAAGCCUGCUUCCUUUGUCUUGGUCAAUAAUUUAUUACUGAAUUCAGUGGAAUGAAGCAGCAUCUAUCUAAGCAAGAUGUGAAAAUUAUUUCACUUAAUUCCACACCCAGCUCCAAGACACUAAGUGUCUUGAAUGGAGGUCUGUGUCUUUCACUGCAUGUGACACUACCAUCCUGCAUCUUAUCUGAGGAGAAGAGAAUAAAGUUUCAGCUGUAACUUGGGUGUUGGUUAUAUAGCUCUGACUCAGAGGUGUCUAACAGAAUCUAGGAAUAUACUUGGAUAUAGGGAGAAUUUCUAAAGGUACAGGCCUUGACUAACAAAUCACUCAAACCCUUUGAUGUCGUCUUUUUUCCCCUCAUUUACUGCUGCCAGUUAGAAAAGCUCUUAAAAACAUGGUCCUCUUCUCAGUGGUGCUUUUUGUUAUCUGCCCUUCCAGUUGAUGGGCAGAGUGGGUUAGUAGAAUGAUUAUCCAUACUUGACAGAGUACAUAUACUUCUUGACAGAGUACAUAUAUGUGGUCGAAAGAUCCCAGUUCAGAUUUCACUCAACCAUAAGAUUAACUCCAUGUUGUUGGUUUUGCAGAACAGGAGGGAAAACAAAAAAGUUGUUUGAGCAAUAUAAUUUUAUAUUCUCAAAUGAUUACAUUUUUUUUUCUUAAAAGCUUCAUUUAUUUCAGGUCUUUUUACUCUGGUAAGAAGUUUGACGUAGUUCAAAAUUCCCAAUGGCAACUGAGAUAUAAUCAUAAUCUUGCAGACACUGAUGGGAAAUCCUGCUCCAUUGUUUCAUAGUAACUGGAACACAAUCCAUGGCUAAAUGAACAAGGAGGCCUCGUGGGUGUUACAAUGCUCCUCAGUACAAGUUACCAGUGAGAACUUCUGAAGAAAAGUGUACAUAAGUCAUGUAUGUUUUCUCUUUACUCCUGACCCUUAAGCAUUUAGUCAGCCUGUUUAAUACUGCCUGGGUCUUGAUUGGCCCCCACUUGAGAGUAUGGCAAUGACAAGGGUUUGUCCCAGGAGUUCACAAUCUGGAAACGUUCAUGUUCCUCUCCCUGUGAGAUGAGGAAAAAUACAACAUUCUCUCUGCUGGAGUUCAGUAGUAUUUCUUAGCACCUGGGAGGGUCUUUGCAUUUUUAAGUGCUUUACAAACAUUUGCUAGUCUUCAGAGCAACCCUGCGAGGUAGGUAAGGUAUAUUCUCCCCAUCUUACAGAUGUGGAAACUGAGACACAAAGGGUCAAAUUCAACCCUGGUACAAUUCCAGUGUUUCACAUGAAUUAAAAUUCAUUCAAAAUGAACACAGUUUAAACAACUUGCCCUAGAUUACAGAACAGAUAGUGGCAAAGCAAGGAUAAGAACCCAGGAGUGCCUGACUCCUCAGCUUGUUACUGGCCACUUGGUCAUUUUUACUCUCAUAGGCAAUGAAAAAACAGUUUAAUCUGGGCAAUUACUACACGUAUGACUUGCUUCUGUAAGGCAUGUGGAUGGUAAUCAACUGAGCUUAGUGCAAUAAUGCUCUAUGAAUGUGCUGCCUCAGAAUUUACUUAAACAUGAAGUAAAACUUUCAUACUAUCAUUUUCUGCAGGUGCACUGUUGACAAGAACCUGACACAGUAGCUGGAUUCAGCAAAUAAAUAAUAAGCAUAACACUUGGACAACUAAGCAGAAUUAUCAUUUUAGCAGAAAAACUGAACAUACUUCUACUUUUAACUGCUACAUUUCUACAAGUGCAGCAUGCAGAUGAAACCUUUCCCUUUGUUUCCAGACUAUAGAUUCCAGUCUUGCUAAUGAAGCUGCUCAGAGCUUCACAGAUAUCCUGGAUAGUGACAUUCAAAUGAACACACUGCAGAAAAAAUACUGUAUCACCACAGAGUACAGGGUAGUGAUUACAGAUGAGGUUUAUUGAUCUUACAGGAAGAUGAUAAGCUUGAAGCUCACAGGCUACUGGGAAGUGCCCAGAAGCCAGGCUUACUGAAUAUAUGCCAGUGUAGAUUGCAGUUCUAGGCAUGUGCUGAAUGCAAGGGGGGGUGUCUGUGCCACCAGCACUCUGGGAAGUGGCCCCAGCAACAGUCACUGCACUUCAGCACAGGCGUGUCAGUCUGGAGGUCAGUGCUGGCCAAACACAGACAGACACCCAGGCAUUUACAGGCCAGCCCCCUGUGCUCCAGUCCCCACCUUGGCUCCCACCCCUAUACAGAUUCUACUACAAAAGGCCUGAAAAGCCUUUUUGGUUUUUAACAUGAGCUGUGGAAUCCACAGCGUAGAUCUUAUGGCAGGUUAUAAAAACAUUAUGACAUGUACUUCUGCAAGCAAGUUAGUUUUCUAGGAUUUCCUUAUGCAUCUAGUCUGCAGGUUAGAGCUCUUGUCUGAGCUCUGGACAUGCUUACAUGCGUUCUUCAGUCAUGUACUUUCACACCAGAAAGUUAUCCUGCACCCUUACAAGUCACACAAAUGCUGACUCACUUCUAUGUGAGCAAAUUUAAGCACUAUAAUUAAAGAUAUCUUGUUCCAAUUUUAAUAUUUUUAUCUCAGCUUAGUUCUGUCCAUCAGACACGGCAAAUGGAACUAUUAUCUGCACACAUGUCCUUCACUGAAUAGACACAGACACUUAGGCACUCGGGUAACAUUUCCCUAGAUAUUCUCCACACUUACUGUACCUCUUUAAUUUGUAGUCACAUUUUUUAAACAAAAAACAGACAAACAAAAAUCCAUGAAUUAGAACUCUUACAUUCUAAUCACAUCUCCCUGUAGCCAUUCACUCUGGAUUCAGCAGCCUGCUUACAGUGGCUCAGACAGCAGUGCUUGCAACUAGCCUUUACAAAUAAUUCCAUGAGGUGCUCAGGCAUGGGCCUAAACAAUUCACCAACAGAAACUUCUGAAUGAAGCAAUAUUAUUAAUAUCAGAGCCAGGUACCUAAUCUUCAGUGUGACUGGGGCUCACAGGCAACUCUUGUAACAGCAGUAAGAUUCCAGCAGUAAGUAAAAUUGCAGUUGGUUGCAAUCCAAACUUCAUACUGUUAUCUGUCGUUGAGAUAUAUAUAGAUGACCCUGUGCGGCCUAACUCCAAAUAUCAAAUGUAUUUAUACAAGUUAGCAACAGCCAUUUUUGACAUUGCCUCUUGAGAUGUCCUUUACAUUGUGACUGACAAGCACAAAUAUAAUUCAUUAUACAGUAUGCUUUUAAAGCCUGGUCUUUUACAUUUGACUUUCACUGUUUGUUUCUGAGCUGCCUUCUAGUGCUGAGGCUUGAUGUCCCCAAGAUUUAUUUCUUAGUUUUUAAUUGCUAGUUGGAUGAGCUAGUGGCAUCUCCCAGGCAAACCCUUUCUACAUAAUUAGUUUGGAUGAGUCAUUGGGAUCUAACUACUAUGCCUCUAUUACUUUAACUUUAAUACAGCCCAUCUCAAAGAUUUUUGGCCUCUUUUUGCAGUUGUGGAAAUUCAUAGCAUGACAUGUUUGCAGGUCUUGAUCCACUGGCUUUCUAUUGUGAGUUUUCAGGGGUUUCACAAUAUUAAAGUACAUUUCAAGAAAUAACCUUGUUGUGAACCAGCCUCCUCUCCCAGUGGUGCAGAUUAUUUUCUGCUUUGUUGGCAGCUGAAGAAAGCAAUGUUAUGUUUAUGACAAAACUUAGUGAAAAUAGAUAAAAUUUAAAAUACUUAAUGUAGUUUUCAUUUUCUUUUCAUGCAGGUUGGCAAAUGAAAACUGAACACAGCCACUCACACAGGGCCAUGCAGUUUUUUUUAUGGCCCAACAGCAAUAACUCAAGAGCCCACAGCUUGGGAACUGCUACUUCAGAUAAUUAUAGUCUAUCUCCUUAAAAGACAUCUGACCCUUCCAGAAAUGACAUACCAGCAGAACUGUGGCUGGCAAAGAGUAUAUAUUUUUGUUAGUCCAUUUUCAUCAUUCACAAAGAAUCUAAAAUAUUAAAACCAUUAUACUUAAAAUGGGUUGAGAUAAAAGCUAAAUUGAGGGAGUGUAAUUUUCUUUUAGCUUAUGCACUUCAAUUGAGAAAUUUACAUGAAGUUGUUACAUUGGUAGAGGGCAUAUCUGUUAUUGGGUCUGUGAUGACUCUGACCCAUGUUAAGGAUUUGACUUUACAAUCCCUGGCUACAAUCUUUCAUAUAUUCCAAUUUUAAACAAAGGGGACUUCGUCUUACAGAAGAUUAGGACUGGACUCAAACAUUGUCUUGGAAUUCAGAUGCUAUGUCCAUGAAAAUGGGAGACUCAAGCAGAAACACUUCUACAAUAGGAGCUGAGUAAAACAGCUACUACACUAUUAUGCAGUCUGACACAAGGAUUUGCUAAGGAAGUACCGCCCUUCUUUUAACAAAGGGUUACACAAGUAAUUUCUCACCUGAACUUCGACUGGUAAGUCCCUUGUGUAACAUUAUUGCACUUGUUCUGUCAGACGAAAGCAAAAUUUAUCUGCUUAAAAUCUGCACAUGGUUUACAAAAAUGUAUCUAGAGAGUAAACUCAAACUACAUUUAGCUCUUUGUUGUUUGACAAGAAUAAUACAUGGGUUGCUCUGAAAAGAUACUACUUUGGAAAACACCUCCUAAUUCUUGUCUUUGAACUCCCCCAAAGCUUCUGAAAGAGGACUUCAACUUCCAGCUGAACCACAAGUAAUCAGAAUAGAAAAAAGUGGGGAAUGACAAAAAAGUGCCAGUAUCCAGUACUUGUAGAGCCAGAUUUUAGGUGCUGAGCUCAGAUUCAGCAGUAUUGUAUUCUGCCACUAAUUUUAGGAUAGUAAAUAUGACAGUGGUCUAAUUAAAUAGCAGUAGAAAUUAGUUCCAUGUAGUUUUUUAAAAGAUCCAGAAUGAGAUCUCAUGCAUCAGUUCCUCUUUACAUCCACAGAACUCCCACCGAGCUUGGCAGGGGUUUAUAGAAAGUCUGGCAUCUGACUUUGACUCGAGAAGACUGGUUUGGGGGUGAUUUACCCAGAAAGAUAAAGGGGCCCCUUAGCAACUCCCUCAGCACAACAGAUGUUCCUGACAGGCUGAGGGAAGAGCCAUUCCAUUAUGCAAUGUCCUUCUUCUUCCUCUGCCCCCAUUCCAAACCAGUUUGACCCCUUUCUGGUUUGAUUACUUUACAUAUCCUUCUAUUUUAUUUUAGUAUCUGAGUGGCUACACCAACUACACACUGACUAAUUAAAGUCGCUCCAUUAACUGGUAAUUCUGUAAUCAUUCACAGCUGUUUUUCCUCUCUCUCCUAAAUCUAUUGUUCCCUGGCUGAAAAGGCUGCAAGAGCUUAGAAACUAUAGAUAGCUAUCGAUUUGCUUGCAUUUAAAAUCCAGUAUGUGGCUGCAAAGGCCUGUUACAAUAUCAGAGAGGAAGAUAAAUGUCAGUGCAUAAUCUGCUAGGAAAUUUCACAUAGGAGUUGAUUAAAAGUCUAUGAGAAAUCAUUGCACAAAUGUCUUCAGGUGUAUACAUAUAUAUACACAUAUAUGUAGCUAAUAAAUAUAUAGCUAGAUAUAUAAAUAUAUAUAUAUAUACACACAAAGCUAGUUUAGACCUAAUUGUUAUGAAAUUAGUAAGUGGCAUUCACCAUUCAUGCAUUCUUCCUAGUAGCAGAGCUAAAUUAUUUCAGCUUAUACUCCAAGCAGCAACAUACCAGUAAGCAUUUGCUUGCUUCCCCUGGUAACCUAGUAGUUUAAAGAGCACGAGCAGUUCUGCCAUGGUCAUUUUCUCCAUCGAACCUCCAUGAAAAGGACCUCUUCCACAGGUGGGUUUCCCUCAGGUUUCACAGCUUCUUCAGGACAUGGUGGGUCUGGUCUGAGGGUCACCAGUCUGAAGGUCAUCGGCCCAAGCACCUCCAGGCCAAGGGUCCCUGGCACUGGUGGUCGCUGUCCCGAGGGUCGCCGGCCUGGUCAGUCCUGCUUGCAGAUGUCUGCAACGUUGAGGAACCUCCUGACGACCACAGCGAGGCAGACGGUCAGGAGCAGCAUGUACCCCACGGUGCCUAGGUAGGUGGGGGCAGCCAGGGGUGCCUUGAGAAACUCAGCCAGCCCAUCCUCCACAUAGUGCACCUGGUCGUAGAUGCUGAGGAAGGUGAAGAUGUGGAAAAGCUGAUGGCUGUGCCCCACGAUGUCGAAGAGCCCCGGCUGGAUCCGCUCGGGGAUUUUGCUGACGUUGAAGAAGGCGGCCACCAGCAGCCAGAAGUAGCGGCGGUAGAAGUAGACGAAGAGCGUGGGGUUGCGAGCGCGGAGGUCGAAGAGGAGGCUCUCCA